rnacentral:rRNA from 1 species
UGAGUAACACGUGGGCAAUCUGCCCUGCACUUCGGGAUAAGCCUGGGAAACUGGGUCUAAUACCGGAUAGGACCUUUAGGCGCAUGCCUUUUGGUGGAAAGCUUUUGCGGUGUGGGAUGGGCCCGCGGCCUAUCAGCUUGUUGGUGGGGUGAUGGCCUACCAAGGCGACGACGGGUAGCCGGCCUGAGAGGGUGUCCGGCCACACUGGGACUGAGAUACGGCCCAGACUCCUACGGGAGGCAGCAGUGGGGAAUAUUGCACAAUGGGCGCAAGCCUGAUGCAGCGACGCCGCGUGGGGGAUGACGGCCUUCGGGUUGUAAACCUCUUUCACCAUCGACGAAGGUCCGGGUUUUCUCGGAUUGACGGUAGGUGGAGAAGAAGCACCGGCCAACUACGUGCCAGCAGCCGCGGUAAUACGUAGGGUGCGAGCGUUGUCCGGAAUUACUGGGCGUAAAGAGCUCGUAGGUGGUUUGUCGCGUUGUUCGUGAAAUCUCACGGCUUAACUGUGAGCGUGCGGGCGAUACGGGCAGACUAGAGUACUGCAGGGGAGACUGGAAUUCCUGGUGUAGCGGUGGAAUGCGCAGAUAUCAGGAGGAACACCGGUGGCGAAGGCGGGUCUCUGGGCAGUAACUGACGCUGAGGAGCGAAAGCGUGGGGAGCGAACAGGAUUAGAUACCCUGGUAGUCCACGCCGUAAACGGUGGGUACUAGGUGUGGGGUUUCCUUCCUUGGGAUCCGUGCCGUAGCUAACGCAUUUAAGUACCCCCGCCUGGGGGAGUACGGGCCGCAAAGGCUAAAACUCAAAGGAAUUUGACGGGGGGCCCGCACAA